rnacentral:SRP_RNA from 1 species
GCUGAGCUCAGCAACGUGAGUUUGUAACCCGAGUGGGGGCUUUAAUGUGGUGGGACGUUGACCAUGCUUAUAAGGUCGGGUCCAGUGCGGCUGUUAUCUGGCCCGCCCGUUCCAAGCCAGGAGUUGAACCAAGGCAUCUUAGUGAAGACCUGGGUGUCUCAGCUCUUAGAGUGGAGGGCAUAGCGUGAGGCUGGUCUCACAGAGCAGCGAUCACCUCUCGCUCCUGGCAGUGGAAGGAUAACGGGUCGGUGCCAUCUGGAUCCGCAUGGCCUGAUGGGCUGGUCCUAAUUGAACCAUCACUUUU